GGACGGAGAGUGCAGGACCCUCUGAGGGACUGAGAUACUGGGCCAUGUUGUUGUUCUGUACCUGUGGAAGAAGCACUAAUAUACUUGAAGGAUCAUUUUGU